ACUGGAUACGAGUAGCGGCCGCAUGGUCAGUUACUGGAAAGAUUUAUUGGUUGGGGAUGGGCUCGCGGCCUAUCAGCUUGUUGGUGAGGUAAUGGCUCACCAAGGCGUCGACGGGUAGCCGGCCUGAGAGGGUGACCGGCCACACUGGGACUGAGACACGGCCCAGACUCCUACGGGAGGCAGCAGUGGGGAAUAUUGCACAAUGGGCGGAAGCCUGAUGCAGCAACGCCGCGUGAGGGAUGACGGCCUUCGGGUUGUAAACCUCUUUUAGCAGGGAAGAAGCGAGAGUGACGGUACCUGCAGAAAAAGCACCGGCUAACUACGUGCCAGCAGCCGCGGUAAUACGUAGGGUGCAAGCGUUAUCCGGAAUUAUUGGGCGUAAAGAGCUCGUAGGCGGUUUGUCGCGUCUGCUGUGAAAUCCGGAGGCUCAACCUCCGGCCUGCAGUGGGUACGGGCAGACUAGAGUGCGGUAGGGGAGAUUGGAAUUCCUGGUGUAGCGGUGGAAUGCGCAGAUAUCAGGAGGAACACCGAUGGCGAAGGCAGAUCUCUGGGCCGUUACUGACGCUGAGGAGCGAAAGGGUGGGGAGCAAACAGGCUUAGAUACCCUGGUAGUCCACCCCG
rnacentral:rRNA from 1 species